CUUUCCAUGCGGUUGGACAUCAAGCCAUCGCUCUGUUUCUUUUACGUUUUAUGCCUCGGAAAGGCUUUGCCUUUUUACAAAAAAGAGAAAGAAGAGGAAAGACUAUUACAGUAAAACGUUCAACUUUA